rnacentral:tRNA from 1 species
GCCUUCGUGGUGUAAUGGUGAACGCACUCGGCGCGUAUUCGAGAGGUCAGAGGUUCGAGUUCCGGCGAUGGCA